AGGAACUUAGGUUAAUACUAAACCAGAGGCCUUCAAAGCCCCCAAUAAGAGUUAAAAUCUCUUAAUUCCUG
rnacentral:tRNA from 1 species